rnacentral:rRNA from 1 species
AANGGCAGCUUGCUGGACUGUAACUGACGCUGAGGCACGAAAGCGUGGGGAUCAAACNGGAUUAGAUNNCCUGGUAGUCCACGCCGUAAACGAUGNANUGCUAGCUNNUAGCGAUAUACUGUUAGCGGCACAGAGAAAUCGUUAAGCAUUCCACCUGGGGAGUACGCCGGCAACGGUGAAACUCAAAGGAAUUGACGGGGGCCCGCACAAGCGGAGGAACAUGUGGUUUAAUUCGAUGAUACGCGAGGAACCUUACCUGGGCUUAAAUUGCAGUGGAAUAACGUGGAAACAUGUUAGCCUUCGGGCCGCUGUGAAGGUGCUGCAUGGUUGUCGUCAGCUCGUGCCGUGAGGCGUCGGCUUAAGUGCCAUAACGAGCGCAACCCUCAUCGAUAGUUACUAACAGGUUAAGCUGAGGACUCUAUCGAGACUGCCGACGUAAGUCGUGAGGAAGGUGGGGAUGACGUCAAAUCAGCACGGCCCUUACGUCCGGGGCGACACACGUGUUACAAUGGGAGGUACAAAGGGCAGCUACCUGGCGACAGGAUGCUAAUCUCUAAAACCUUUCUCAGUUCGGAUUGGAGUCUGCAACUCGACUCCAUGAAGCUGGAUUCGCUAGUAAUCGCGCAUCAGCCAUGGCGCGGUGAAUACGUUCCCGGGCCUUGUACACACCGCCCGUCAAGCCAUGGAAGCUGGGGGUACCUGAAGUAUGCAACCGCAAGGAGCGUCCUAGGGUAAAACCGGUAACUGGGGCU